rnacentral:lncRNA from 1 species
UUAACGGCACAGAAGAGGAAGUCCUGUCUUCUGGGAUUGAGUUUGGUAAUCCACCCCUUGGAGCUAAACACAGUAAGAGGAGCCCACCCUUUUCUUACUAUACAGAGAAGAGUAAAACACAGUCACCUUUACACAGCAUCUGAGUGGACCUAACACAGGGCAGUGAAAGUGAUGCAGAACAAACUUCAAAGCCUCCAGGAGCACACGUGACCUCAGGAAAUGAACAGAAACAACCUAGCUCUCCAAAGAGGAGUAUUUCAUUCAACUCCGAACUGCUCACACAUUAUGCAACUGUGAACAAGGCUCAUUUAAAAAUCCAUGAAGCUUCUAAUGUUUUCACCACAAAAUAUAUUAAGUAUUGAGGUGCUGGAUAUGUUGACUAGUUUGAUUUAAUUAUUCCACAUUAUAUGCAUAAAUAGUAACAUCACCUUGUUCCCCAUAAAAUUAUACAAUUAUAAAUUGUCAAUUUGCAAUUAAAACAAUAAAAUCCA